CACAAGGCUGCCCAAUAGAAUACAAGUAUGAGUUGCUGUUUAGAAAUUAUGGAAAGACUCCUUAAGUAGAGUCAGACUUAACUGGAAUGUGUAUUUGACCCUCCGUCUUCCUUCUUACCUUUUCUGCUUGGAACAUGGCCUCAAUGAUCAGAUAUGGUGACCAUGAGAGUGAAAGCCACACCCUGAGGCUGAAGGUGAAGAAAAUGCAAGGAGACUGGAGUAUUGAAGGCAUUGUGGAGUGGCUGCACUGGUCCUGAGGUGUCAACCUCAAAAUCUUUACUCAGAAGUUCAAUAGGUCCAUGAAGAGAUUACUGAGUCUGCUAGGUCCUGCUGGUGCAUACCUGCUGAGACAGGGUAGAAGGUCACACAGUUAUCCUCACCAUGCUCCAAGGAGGAAGCCUGCUGUGGCUAAAGUAUGUGUUCUUAUUAAAUAUAUAUUGUAAAGUACCUCUGUUGAUACUGUUAAAUUCCUACCAUUAAAAAGUUGCAUAUAGUGAACGCAGCUAAGUUAAUGUUUCCGUAAGAACCUUAGUGUUAAAACUUGCUUAAUAUGACAUUAAUCUAGGAUUUUGUUUGUUUGUUUGUUUGUUUUGCU
rnacentral:lncRNA from 1 species